UGACUAACUGGCGAAGUUUGACGCCAGUCGAAACAUGGCGGCCUCCACAAAUUCCACGUUGUUGGACGAUCUAUGCAAGAAGCCUGAUGUGCUGCAAGAAGAGUUUGGCAGCGAUGGGGAACGCCGCCAGUUACGCCGCAAGGGUCACGUCGACUCAUUUCGUCACAAGAAGUUGCUGGAUGCCAUUGGUUCCUUGGGCGGCAAAAAAAAAGUGACACCACGAACUGAGCCAAGCUUGACAGUCUCUGAAUAUGACCUGUCAAAAGCUUCAGUGGAGAAGGUGGCGGUGCACCAGCUGCUCAUGGGCCUCAAGAAGACCGAUGCGCACCGGCAGAUCAAGAAGAAAGUGCGCUCCAUUGUGCGCAAUGCCAAGGUGCUGGCCGAACCCUUACCCCGACCUCAACUCCAGAGGGCACAGCGUCAGGUCGCAUAUGAAAAGGUUGGCGAGGAAGUCUCCGUGUGGGAGCCUGUGGUCAAACAGAACCGUGUGGCUGAGCAACUACGCUUUCCCCUCAAGCAACCAGACAUGAGGAUGGCGUCUGUUGGUAAAUUUGCUGAGCGCCUCAAGCCGAAGACGGAUCUUGAAAAAGAAAUAAACAAGAUCUUGAAGGUCAGCGAAAAUGUCACGCCACCAGGAGCUGAACUGACUCCAGCUGAAGAGAAAGCCCUGAAGGCCAUGAGCUUGGAAGAGGCCAAGGAAAGACUGGCUGAGCUGAAAAAGAUGAGGGCUCUGCUGUCCUAUCAGGAGAUGAAGGCUCGAAGGCAGGGCAAGAUCAAAAGCAAGAAAUAUCACCGUAUUCUGAAGAAGGAGCGCCUGAAAAAAGAAAUGAAAGAGUUCGAAGAACUCAAGGAGAAGGACCCUGAGCUUGCCAUUGAGAAGCUGCGAGAACUUGAAAAGCAGCGAGUCUUGGAAAGAGUGUCGUUAAGGCAUAAAGGCACAGGAAAAUGGGCCAAGCACCAAAUGCUGAGAACCAAGUACAACCAGGAGAGUCGAGAAGCACUGUUGAAGCAGCUGGAGCUAAGUCGGCAACUCACACAGAAGCCUCUCGUGGAAUCAUCUGAUGAUGAGGAUGCAAUGGACUCUGCUGCUGCUAAAGAAGUUGCAGCCGCGCAUACUGGAGAGCUAGAGGCAAGCUUCUUCAACUCUGCUAACCCAUGGCUCAAGAACCCAAGUGUAUCAUGGCCCAGCACAGGAGUAGAUAGCGUUGAUGAUGUCAAUGCUGAUGCCGCAUCUCCAGAAACACUUCCUGAAGAUGUUGGAAGGGGAAAGGAUGCUGAAGCUUUACCCAGUGAUGAUGGGGAGGAGGCUGGUAAUAAAAACUGUGAUAAGGGUGCUCUUGGAGCAGUGAACAGCAUGGAAAGUGAGCAGGAGUGCUUAACCAUUACGAAGGGUACUGAAGAGAAAACAGCAGUCGAGGCUGAAACAGAAAGCUGCAUGAUCGACAAUGAAAAAGAAAAGAAGGCAGCACUUUCAAAUCCGAAAUAUGGUGGUCAAGCAAAGUUUGGUUUGAUCAAGAAAGGUCCAAAAAGGAAACUCGCUUCAGUUACGAAGAAUGGAGGCAAGAUCAGUGCACAGGUCUCCAAGCCAGUGGAGCCGUCCUCGGAAGAAAGAGAAGACGCUAACAUCGACCAGAUGUUUGAUUCUCUGAAUGAACAUGCCAUGAAAAAGAGGAAAAAAAUGAAGCCGGGUCAGAAAAGGAGGAACCAGAAGAGCAAUAAGUCGGUGACUUUCAAGGAGAGAAAAGAGGUCAACGAAGAAGAGAAAAAUGACAACAACGCUGACAGCACAACAAUGGAAGGCCUUGAAAAUGCUGAAUGUGAGGCACAGCUGGAUGAGAUAUUGGAAAGGAAGCGGACUCUGAAAGACCUGGAAAGUUUCAGCAAAGAUAAAACACCAAAGGCAUCACAGAAGCGCUCCUUGGUCCCCCAGCCAACCCAGCCAGAAGCUAAGCCGGAUAAAGUAGAAGUUGACCCAACGAAGUUCCUUCAGGUGAAACAGCAAAUACUAAAGUCCAGGGCUCCAGACUUGGGUGGAACUGCUGAGGAUGCUUUGGAUGAUGAGGACAUUGAGAAUGAACAGGCCGUCACUAUUGCUGAAGCAUUUGCAGAUGACGAUGUCAUCAGUGCUUUCAGGGAAGAGAAGAAAGCGCAGGUGAAGCAGGAUACACCACAAGGUGUUGACCUUUUCUUGCCUGGAUGGGGAUCCUGGGGUGGCGGCGGCAUCAAGGUAGAUAAAAAAAAGAGACGCAAGUUCUUUGUGAAGCCUCCCCCAGCACCACCGAGGAAAGACCAAACACUUGGAAAUGUGAUCAUCAGCGAAGCCCAGGAUGAAAAACUUGAGGCACACCAGGUUGACGCGCUGCCAUUCCCGUUCAACAACGUUAGCCAGUUUGAGUCAGUCAUCAGCCACCCUGUGGGCAGCUUGUGGAACCCCGAGACAUCCUUCAGAGAACUGACUGCACCGAAGGUUGUUGCCAAGAUAGGGCAAGUCAUUGAACCCAUAGACACAGAUGCUCUGACCCUCAAGAAGAAGGAGAAUGUUGUCGAUAAGCUCUUGGAGCGACAGAAAGCUGCAGCAAAGCACAAGCAGCAGCCGCAGCGACGAAGGAAGAAAAAAUGAACAAUGGUACUGACAGUGUAUGUCCAGCGAAGCUGUUGCAAAACCACCACUACAACUGCUUAGGGGGGAAUGCAAGCAUGUUCAUGCCUCCAAGGAAUGAAGUGAACCUGUAUAAUAUGUACAUAUUGAAAUAAAUACACACUGCGGCAUGUACAAA